GGUUGAGUAGCUCAGCUGGAUAGAGCAACAGCCUUCUAAGCUGUGGGUCUUGGGUUCGAA
rnacentral:tRNA from 1 species